rnacentral:rRNA from 1 species
UACGUAGGCAGCGAGCGUUGUUCGGAGUUACUGGGCGUAAAGGGUGUGUAGGCGGUUGCUUAAGUUUGGUGUGAAAUCUCCCGGCUCAACCGGGAGGGUGCGCCGAAUACUGAGUGACUAGAGUGCGGGAGAGGAAAGUGGAAUUCCUGGUGUAGCGGUGAAAUGCGUAGAUAUCAGGAGGAACACCGGUGGUGUAGACGGCUUU